AGGUGGAGGCAAGGUGGUGUAGUUGCUGCCAGGUCGUCCAGUGGCCCGUGAGGAGGGUUCUGGAAGCUGCAGGAAUUAUUUGAAGACGCUUGAGGAAUACUGGCUACAUUCUUCUGCUGACCCUAUUCCAGCUCAAACAAAGCUUGGGGUGAAGGCUAUUAUGAAAACAGGGACCAUCUCCGGCCUGUGGAGCUCUUCCCACACAAUAAACCAAGCUAGUAAAUGGUAGAAAAGUAGAGAUGCUGCUGUCUUCCAAGAUUGAAGGAAAGACCAGCCUGACAGCAGACUCCUGGCCUCUAAGUUUCUUGACCACUGAACCAGCGGCAUCUGAACUUUUUGCUGUGGGAGAAAGAUCAAACCCUUCCUUGGCCGACUCAUUGUUAUUUUGGGUUUUCUGUUACCAGCAUCCAAACACAAUCCCUAACUGAUAAAGUUGUUGCCAUUAUAACGAAGCAAAAUCAGAGACAACCAAGCAAGAAGCAAGACUAUGAGCUCCAUAGCAUAUUAGCCAGAAGGUGGCAAAGCUUUCUGCUCUAUGGUAGCUCUCCCACGGUCUCAGGUGAAGGACUCCAGCCAGCCUUGCUCUUCUACUGUUAGCACCUGCUACAGCUUUGAGUGUGACCGAAGGGAACAUCCACUGCAUGGGUACCAAAUCUUGGGUUCUAACCUCUGUUUGGUUGAGCAAAUCUCUUAACCACCUGUACAAUAAGGAUAAUAUCUUUCCUACCUAUCUCACAGGGUGUUUGUUGAAAUCAAAUAAGAAAAAUACAAGGAAAUGCUCUUUAAAACUUAAAAAAUGCUAUGUACAUGUGAAGUAGCAUAUUAUUAUUGUUCCUAAUCCCUAUUUAUUUAUUUUCACAGCAGGCACCACUUACAGUGUAAACAGGCUCAAUCAUGGUGCUAAUGCAAAAAUCUAUAUCUUAAAGCACUAUUUUUUUGCAAAUCUAUUCUAACU